rnacentral:tmRNA from 1 species
GGGGCUGUACCGGUUUCGACGUGGGUUCGGAAUCGCAGUGGGGCAUGCCGAGGUUCAGUCACCUCGUAAAUCCGCUGAAACAAACCAACUGCGAACGACGAACGUUUCGCCCUCGCCGCUUAAACACCGGUGAGCCUUACAACAGUUGGCCGAUGGGCUGGGCAAAGGGAGUAAUCCCCGCGCUGUAAGGUAAUUCACAUUGGCUGGCUUCGACCCGGGUGCCUUGGAUCGAAGCGAGAAAAUAGGGCACUGGCUGCGAUCGGAGCGUGCGACUGCGCGCCGGCUGUGGCGAGAUCCAAAUCAGACCGCUAAGCAUGUAGAUCUGCGCGAAGAAGGCUUACGGACGCGGGUUCAAUUCCCGCCAGCUCCACCA